UGUUUUUGAAAAAAAGCCCAUUUUGACGAAUGAACUGUUCGUGAAACGAAUGAGAUGAAGGACUGACGUAGCAUCAGCUAGAAUAAUUAGCUGAAUAAUUAAUAGUUCCUCAAGUGGAAUGAACUGAAAAACUGCGGAUUACCAUAUUAUAUUUUCUGAAAAGCUGAAGAAUUAACGGUUUGUCAGUUAGAAUGAACUGAAGAAUUGCCAGUUUACAGGGUUAGGUUAUGAGCUGAAGAAUUGACGGUUUAUCUGAUUUUGUUUUGCAGUGAUGAAUGUACUGUUAGUCAUAUUAAUGAGAUGAACCGAUGUAGCAUAACAUGGAAUACUGGACUGAAGAACUGAUAGAUCGUCAGAUGAAAUAAGCUGAAGAAUUUCCAAUUCGCCUAAUUGAGUAAUAAGCUAAUUGACCAUUCAUCAGAUUUUUGAUGAGCUGAAGAAUUAACGGUUCAUCAGAUAGAAUGAGCUGAAGAAUUUCCAGUUCGCAAGGUUAAGAAUGAACUGAAGAAUUGAUGGUUUAUCUGAUUUUAUUAGAUAGUGAGAUAUGCUGUUCGACAAAGAAACAGAUGAAGAACGGAUGAGAUGGCAAACUGGGCUGAAGAAUUGUUACUUUGUCAGAUGGAAUAAGCUGAAGAAUUGCCAAUUUACAAGAUUGAGUAAUAAACUCGCCCCAUCAGAUUUUCUUAUGAGCUGAAAAAUUCUUCACAUCAGAUAGAAUGAGGUGAAGAAUUGCUAGUUCACCAGCUGAGUUAUUAGCUGAAGAAUUGAAGCUUUAACCGAUUUUCUGAAGAAUCGGUGAAUCUGAAGAGUGAACUGUUCGUCAGAUUGAACGAACUGAAUAAUCGCCCUUUUUUUUGGUAAUAAAGGCUAGCAUGGGUGCAUAAUCAAUGUUGAAAACAGGUACUUGCAAAUGGAAGAAGCAGUAAUUAAUAAGAUGAUGAGUGACCGCUCCAACUAUGCUAUGAACCUGAAAGAGACAACAUAAUUAUCGAAAUUCCCAAAUAGAGGCUGCCAGUUGUUCCAUAACCUAUUGGAAUGCUCAAU